UAAAAAGACAGAUGGGCCUUGAAGGCCUCUGAAGCCCAUUAGGGCGUACAACAACAAGGAGCAAGGGGGUGGUCCAAAACCCAGGAAGCCCAUGUGGCUGAUCCAAUUCGGGUUAUCCAUAACCCUGGACCGGGUCAAAGAAACCGACCUAAGAUCCGUUGGAUCUCCAACCUUGAAACAUGCGGAACGGCGUUUCCAACGCCUUGAGAAGGUCAACCAAUUCUUGGGCAGUGAGAGAUCUUGGCUCUCAUUCAUGGCCAUAAAUCAAAAAAUCUGCAGUUAAUGAUAAUUAACAACAAUGAAGAAUAUAUACGCUCUGUUCUUUCUCGUUCAAGAACUCAACCUUUCGGAAAGUAAUCGCGUCCCAAACCCUUACAUAUACCCAGAAACAAACUCCAACCUUAAACUACCUUCCUUGAAAUCCAACAUUAGAGUUACACAAAUCCAACAAACCUAAGCAAGAUACUCAUUUAUAUCUACCGAUUCGAGAAUAAUUUCUAGUGAUAUCACUCAAAGUAAAAGAAAAAUCAGGGAAGUGAUAUGAACCUUACCAACUCAGAGAAUCGGAACGUCCAGCUUCUGACGAUGUCGCUCAAGUUCUUCCGGCGAGUGUUCUGAUUGCAACCAAUUGUCCAGACAAAGUAUGCUUUCUCUUCACGGUUUGGCUUUUCUCUUUUCCUUUCCUACCCCAUUCUUGUCAAUAUGCUCCUCUGUUUAGACUUCUACUGAUGAGGUUUUAGAUUUGCUUUUUCCUCAGAGAUUCAAUACGAAACUCUAAAAGAAGAAAAGCUUUUAGGUGAGGAUGAGAAUUUCAACAGGGCAACGGUGCAAAAUCUCCUCCUCUUCUUCUAAUUUCUGUGUUCGAUGUGAUUUUUAUCAGGGUCUUAGCUCGUAUUACUCAAAGUUCUAAGGAUAAACUUUGAGCACCCAUUUGAUAUCUUUGAGCUUUGGUGUGCAGGUUAGGAUGCGAUUUCGGCAGAGUGACGGUGCAUAAAAUUAGGUCUUGGUCGAGUGACGGCGCACCGAUUAGGGUUUUUUCUUUUCAAUGAUUGGAUGUCUCUUAUAUAGAGCUCUGGGUUACCAAGUCUCUCACCUGUGAGCUGGCCAAAAAUCCAAGAUUUUCCGUUGGAAUCAAAUCUCCUCUAAUUUUGGUGUGGUCCCUAAUUUGAUGCAGGUGGCAAGGCGAGUUGGUUGGGAGUGGAAAUCUUUCCAUGAUGCGUGGUCCCAAAAUGCAGGUGCUUGAAGAUUUUGUCUGUAGUGAAUCCACGGUCUCACAACUAUCAGAGUGAUGCUGAAUCCGCUGGUGCUUGAUUUCUUUUGACAGCAUAGACAUUGGUUUGAUCGUGGUAUGUGGCUACCGCAGGUCUUGUUGUGACCACUGAUGUGUUGCAGAGUACUGAUUAUCUCAUUCCUGUUGAUAAGCCUGUGGUACUAUCUGGCGGCAAUCCUCCAAGAAGAUUGACAAAUGCUGCAGGUUUUGGUUCUGCAGCCAAGAUUUCUUGCCGUUUAAAGGGAUAGUUUGAUGGCAGUUGAUGUUAGCUAGUGCUGUGGUUUUGCAACAGCUUUGGUUGGCAGCGGUAUUGACGACACGGGUGGUGCAAGUGGGAAAUCUCGACAAGGCUAGUAGCUGUGUUGUUUCACUUUGUAAUGGAUUUGGAUGACCAUAUUGAUUUCUUAUUUCUGUCAUUCGCAGGUUUUCCGUGUUGCUUCAAUCAUUGCAACAUUAUAUACAAUUCAAAAUGCAAUUGGCUCGGCUGCAAUCACUAGAGUUUCAAAUGCACUAGGAGCUGGACAUCCACAAGCAACACAAUUGUUUGUGUAUGCUGCUAUGACUCCUGCUGUUUCCAAUGCAAUUUUGAUUAGUUCCACCAUUUUUCUCUCUCGACGGAUUGUCGGUUAUAUAUUUAGCAACAGGCAGGAUAUCCUUGUAAACCAAAACGAUAGAACUAACUUUGUUUGCUGUCAUGGCAGGAUGUCCUUGUAAACCAAUAUAGUAGAACUCACUCUGUUUGCUGUCAUAGCAGGAUGGGUGUUUGAUUGGGUUCUGCAGUAAGCUUGUCAUGCACGUCGGGUGGGAUUUAUGCCAAUGACUUUGGUAUGUUGUAGGCCUGUGGUAGACUCAUUGCUUGGAACCGAAAUCUGUUAGAAUUCAGGCACAAGAUUUACGGUGCGGAAGGUCCUGGUGUAUAAUGCAUUUGGCUUUGAUGUAGACUGUUGUGCUUAUCUGGUCGUGGCUUGAUGGUCAUUAGAUUUUGAAGUGUAUUUCUUUCAUUUGGCCCACUGUAAUGUAUUUUUAGGACCUAAGAUUGCUGUGAACGGUCUUGUGGUAUUGUGGUAUUUGAAACAACUAUGUUUGUAAAAAUCCAAAAUUUGUUCAGCUAAUGUAAUUUCUACAUUGAUGUCUUUAAGCCA